rnacentral:snRNA from 1 species
UUGAGGCAUGGGCUUCGAGC